rnacentral:rRNA from 1 species
CACGCGCGCUACACUGACUGGCUCAGCGUGUGCCUACCCUACGCCGGCAGGCGCGGGUAACCCGUUGAACCCCAUUCGUGAUGGGGAUCGGGGAUUGCAAUUAUUCCCCAUGAACGAGGAAUUCCCAGUAAGUGCGGGUCAUAAGCUUGCGUUGAUUAAGUCCCUGCCCUUUGUACACACCGCCCGUCGCUACUACCGAUUGAAUGAUUUAGUGAGGCCU